rnacentral:rRNA from 1 species
GAUGAACGCUAGCGGCAGGCUUAAUACAUGCAAGUCGAGGGGCAGCACGGGUAGCAAUACUUGGUGGCGACCGGCAAACGGGUGAGGAACACGUACGCAACCUUCCUUCAAAUGGGGAAU